GCUGCUGUGGCUCAAUCUAGAGCGUCCUCUCAAUCUAAUGAGCUGUCGAAACAGGAUUACGAGGAAAGUGUGGGUUCGAUUCCCACCAGUAGCA